rfam:Cricetulus griseus cell line CHO-K1, whole genome shotgun sequence.
AAACAUGACUUUCUUCUCUGGCCAUGACAUCUUUCACCAUCUGCCUAGCUAAGUGGUGUCCCUUUCCUCACUCACCACUCCAUGUAGUCCCUGCUGAUGCUGUGAAAGAGGACGACCUUCCCAGAAUAGAGGAGGACCAGUCUUUGGUCAAGGGUAUAUGAGUAGCUGUGAUCCCCCUGAUAGAACAAGCUUUCUCUUUUCAUAAUGUAAAAGUUUGGGUUUUCCUUCCUUCCUUCCUUCCUUCCC